rnacentral:rRNA from 1 species
GAUGAACGCUGGCGGCGUGCUUAACACAUGCAAGUCGAACGGAAAGGCCAGUGCUUGCACUGGUGCUCGAGUGGCGAACGGGUGAGUAACACGUGGGUGAUCUGCCCUGCACUUUGGGAUAAGCCUUGGAAACUGGGUCUAAUACCAGAUAGGACCAUGCUUUGGAUGGUGUGGUGGAAAGUUUUUUCGGUGUGGGAUGAGCUUGCGGCCUAUCAGCUUGUUGGUGGGGUAAUGGCCUACCAAGGCGUCGACGGGUAGCCGGCCUGAGAGGGUGUACGGCCACAUUGGGACUGAGAUACGGCCCAGACUCCGACGGGAGGCAGCAGGGGGGAAUAUUGCACAAUGGGCGCAAGCCUGAUGCAGCGACGCCGCGGGGGGGAUGACGGCCUUCGGGUUGUAAACUCCAUUCGCAACUGACGAAGCUUUUUGUGACGGUAGGUUGAGAAGAAGCACCGGCUAACUACGUG